GGUGGCCGAGUGGUUAAGGCGAUGGACUGCUAAUCCAUUGUGCUCUGCACACGUGGGUUCGAAUCCCAUCCUCGUCGGCUGCAUAGCAAGCCUUUUGUUCCAGGAAUCACAAAUGAUAUGGUAAGCACUUUAUUUGGCAAAUUCAUUCCGUAUUCACCAGCCAUUUCAAUAAUUCCCUCUGAUCUUUCCUGCUCUCUGCUUCUUUAGUAAC
rnacentral:lncRNA from 10 species